rnacentral:rRNA from 1 species
CAGAGGGAGGCAAAGCCGCGAGGCAGAGCAAACCCCUAAAAGCCAUCCCAGUUCGGAUUGCAGGCUGCAACCCGCCUGUAUGAAGUUGGAAUCGCUAGUAAUCGCGGAUCAGCAUGCCGCGGUGAAUACGUUCCCGGGCCUUGUACACACCGCCCGUCACACCAUGAGAGUCGGGAACACCCGAAGUCCGUAGCCUAACCGCAAGGAGGGCGCGGCCGAAGGUGGGUUCGAUAAUUGGGGUGAAGUCGUAACAAGGUAUC